UUAAUGGAGAUCUUGAACUGCAGAGCCACCGUGUCAGAACUCAGACGGUUAACAUUCACUCCUUGCUGUUUUAUUGCAUAUUACUGUGCGCGCCUGAGCAGCGGGAGCAGAUUCGGGCAAUUACAAUCAAGUCAGGGCACACGCCGCGGCAGAGCAACACGAGCAUGAUGAGGAUACUGAUGAGACAUGUUGAACUGCAAGAUCCCACUCGCGACGCCAGAACUCGUCAAGAGGUCUGUAUUGUUGUUUGGCACCGAGGCGUAGGACCCGCCACAGGCCAUUGUUUCUCCAGCUCAAGUGGGCCUGUCUGGUUCGCCUUGGAAGAAUGAGGGUGACAUGCGUGAGUUCCGUACUAUAAAAGGACUGCUGGUUCUAGGGAGAACAGGAGUUUAACGCUAAUGCAGAGUAAAUAAACAGUUUUCACCA